rnacentral:rRNA from 1 species
GAUGAACGCUGGCGGCGUGCCUAAUACAUGCAAGUCGAGCGAACGGACGAGAAGCUUGCUUCUCUGAUGUUAGCGGCGGACGGGUGAGUAACACGUGGAUAACCUACCUAUAAGACUGGGAUAACUUCGGGAAACCGUAGCUAAUACCGGAUAAUAUUUUGAACCGCAUGGUUCAAAAGUGAAAGACGGUCUUGCUGUCACUUAUAGAUGGAUCCGCGCUGCAUUAGCUAGUUGGUAAGGUAACGGCUUACCAAGGCAACGAUGCAUAGCCGACCUGAGAGGUUGAUCGGCCACACUGGAACUGAGACACGCUCCAGACUCCUACGGGAGGCAGCAGUAGGGAAUCUUCCGCAAUGGGCGAAAGCCUGACGGAGCAACGCCGCGUGAUUGAUGAAGGUCUUCGGAUCUUAAAACUCUGUUAUUAGGGAAGAACAUAUGUGUAAGUAACUGUGCACAUCUUGACGGUACCUAAUCAGAAAGCCACGGCUAACUACGUG